GGGAUUAGUGGCGAACGGGUGAGUAACACGUGGGCAAUCUGCCCUGCACUCUGGGACAAGCCCUGGAAACGGGGUCUAAUACCGGAUACGAGUCUCCAAGGCAUCUUGGAGACUGUAAAGCUCCGGCGGUGCAGGAUGAGCCCGCGGCCUAUCAGCUUGUUGGUGAGGUAGUGGCUCACCAAGGCGACGACGGGUAGCCGGCCUGAGAGGGCGACCGGCCACACUGGGACUGAGACACGGCCCAGACUCCUACGGGAGGCAGCAGUGGGGAAUAUUGCACAAUGGGCGAAAGCCUGAUGCAGCGACGCCGCGUGAGGGAUGACGGCCUUCGGGUUGUAAACCUCUUUCAGCAGGGAAGAAGCGAGAGUGACGGUACCUGCAGAAGAAGCGCCGGCUAACUACGUGCCAGCAGCCGCGGUAAUACGUAGGGCGCAAGCGUUGUCCGGAAUUAUUGGGCGUAAAGAGCUCGUAGGCGGCUUG
rnacentral:rRNA from 1 species